CAUGGUGUGUUCUAAGCUCAAAAAAAUCAAUAAAAAAGUGAAUAGUGGGCUUAGAUCAAAUUUUCUGAUAUUAAAUGAGAACUGAUCCAAGCCUAGUUCUCAUGUGUCGUGGCUUCACGUCAUUGGUGGAGAUGUUUUGGAAAGAAAGAAAAAUUUUCAUUUCUUCCCUUCGCCGUCGAAGGUCAGUUUUCCGGCAAUUGAAAAUCUCACAAAUUCAAGCUGAGCCGUUGUCGAAAUCUUCUUAAGUAAUCUCCUCCAGUGUCUUUGUAUCUUCUUCCAAUCGUCGAAGCCUUGUCCUGUAAUUGAUUCGCUGGUUGAGCUCAUCAUACUCUUCCAUAUCUGUUUGAUCUACCCAAAGUUUGAAGUUAUUGCUUUGGUUUGUGCAAUUUGUUUGGGAUUUACACUGAUCUCUGACUUAAUAAAUGAUUAAUGACAUUGCUGGUUUAUCUCAUUACUUGAGUCUUGGUGUGUUUGUUGGAUCCCCUGAAUAAAGCUUUAACUUGUGUAAUUUUAUUGUGAUUAGUUAUAUUGUUCGUUUGAUCUCUAAUCAAUGAGUAAUUACAUUGCUGGUUUAUCACUA